AGAGUUUGAUCAUGGCUCAGAUUGAACGCUGGCGGCAUGCCUUACACAUGCAAGUCGAACGGCAGCAUGAUCUAGCUUGCUAGAUUGAUGGCGAGUGGCGAACGGGUGAGUAAUACAUCGGAACGUGCCCUGUAGUGGGGGAUAACUAGUCGAAAGAUUAGCUAAUACCGCAUACGACCUGAGGGUGAAAGUGGGGGACCGCAAGGCCUCAUGCUAUAGGAGCGGCCGAUGUCUGAUUAGCUAGUUGGUGAGGUAAAGGCUCACCAAGGCGACGAUCAGUAGCUGGUCUGAGAGGACGAUCAGCCACACUGGGACUGAGACACGGCCCAGACUCCUACGGGAGGCAGCAGUGGGGAAUUUUGGACAAUGGGCGAAAGCCUGAUCCAGCAAUGCCGCGUGUGUGAAGAAGGCCUUCGGGUUGUAAAGCACUUUUGUCCGGAAAGAAAUGGCUCUGGUUAAUACCUGGGGUCGAUGACGGUACCGGAAGAAUAAGGACCGGCUAACUACGUGCCAGCAGCCGCGGUAAUACGUAGGGUCCAAGCGUUAAUCGGAAUUACUGGGCGUAAAGCGUGCGCAGGCGGUUGUGCAAGACCGAUGUGAAAUCCCCGAGCUUAACUUGGGAAUUGCAUUGGUGACUGCACGGCUAGAGUGUGUCAGAGGGGGGUAGAAUUCCACGUGUAGCAGUGAAAUGCG
rnacentral:rRNA from 1 species